UUAACUUACACUCAUACCGCCAGGGGAUUACGAGCAAUGCUUAAAACCCAAAGGAUUUGACGGUGUCCCACCCCGCUAGAGGAGCCUGUUCUAUAAUCGAUGAUCCCCGCUUCACCUAACCAUUCCUCGCCCAUCAGUCUGUAUACCUCCGUCGAAAGCCUACCAUGUGAACGUCCGCAGUAGGCUCAAUGAUUCCCCAUCAAUACGUCAGGUCAAGGUGCAACUUAAGGAAUGGUAAGCAAUGGGCUACAAUUUCUAACUUAGAACAAACGAAAGACUAUGUGAAACCCUAGUCAUGAAGGUGGAUUUAGUAGUAAAAAGAAACCAGAGUGUUCUUUUUAACCCGGCUCUGGGACGCGUACACACCGCCCGUCACCCUCUUCGAUAGUACCACAUCUGUUAAUAACCCAACAUUACGUUUUAGAAGAGGCAAGUCGUAACAUGGUAAGUGUACUGGAAAGUGCACUUGGAACACUA
rnacentral:rRNA from 1 species